ensembl:lncRNA
UUUCAACAUGUGACAGGAGAGAUUGCAAACAGGUCUUGAGGUUUUGGAACACAAAAGCCCUGAAUGAAAAGACUGCAACAGCAGAGGGAGGAGCGAGAACAGAAUAUAGAAAGAAAGACAGUAGGGUGGAGUCCCUCUCUACAGAUGGCUGCUGACAUUAAAAAUAAUCAUUAUGUUAAUGCCAAGAUCGUUUACAGGAGGGAUCCUGAACACAAUCACAGGCACAUUCUUCUCUCACCUGCAACAUUUCCCAAGGUCCUUAUGCAGGUAUCAGCAAAUUCAUUAUCAGAAGGAAAGGAAGCACUCCAUUAUAUGAUCUUCAAGGAGAAGCUGGUUCCACCAUUGGGGUGCCAGGGCAGAGAAAAACUGACCAG